rnacentral:misc_RNA from 1 species
GAACGCAUAUUGCACUCUCUGGUUUUCCAGGAGUAUGCCUGUUUGAGGGUCAGUUAAAUAAAAAUCGAGGUUGUUGCUGCCUUUUGUGGUGACGCUUCGGAAUUGGGUCGUCUUUGCCUUUGGUUAAGUGACCUAAAAUUUAAUAUGAUUUUCGAACGUAUUUAAAUCAUUUUACGUACGUUUGUGAUAAUCGAAUAUUAGGUGUGAUCAUUCUCAUGAUUUGCGCCCAUAAUUUUUCAUCAAUUGACCUCAAAUCAGGUAAGAGUACCCGCUGAACUUAAG